rnacentral:rRNA from 1 species
AGUCAACAUGCCCAGGGGACGUGGAUAACCUCGGGAAACUGAGGAUAAACCGCGAUAGGUCACUACUUCUGGAAUGGGUAAUGACCCAAACCUAUAUGGCCCCUGGAUUGGACUGCGGCCGAUCAGGCUGUUGGUGAGGUAAUGGCCCACCAAACCUGUAACCGGUACGGGCUCUGAGAGGAGGAGCCCGGAGAUGGGCACUGAGACAAGGGCCCAGGCCCUAUGGGGCGCAGCAGGCGCGAAACCUCUGCAAUAGGCGAAAGCCUGACAGGGUUACUCUGAGUGAUUUCCGUUAAGGAGAUCUUUUGGCACCUCUAAAAAUGGUGCAGAAUAAGGGGUGGGCAAGUCUGGUGUCAGCCGCCGCGGUAAUACCAGCACCCCGAGUGGUCGGGACGUUUAUUGGGCCUAAAGCAUCCGUAGCCGGUUCUGCAAGUCUUCCGUUAAAUCCACCUGCUUAACAGAUGGGCUGCGGAAGAUACUAUAGAGCUAGGAGGCGGGAGAGGCAAGCGGUACUCGAUGGGUAGGGGUAAAAUCCGUUGAUCCAUUGAAGACCACCAGUGGCGAAGGCGGCUUGCCAGAACGCGCUCGACGGUGAGGGAUGAAAGCUGGGGGAGCAAACCGGAUUAGAUACCCGGGUAGUCCCAGCUGUAAACGAUGCAGACUCGGUGAUGAAUUGGCUUCAUGCCAAUUCAGUGCCGCAGGGAAGCCGUUAAGUUUGCCGCCUGGGGAGUACGGUCGCAAGACUGAAACUUAAA